ensembl:lincRNA
GUUCACUCCCAAGACCCCUGGAGGGGUCCUUAGCCAAGCAGGGAUCCUCUCCAGGUGAUAUAUCCAGCACUGGGAAACUUCCUGAAUUUUACCCAAGCAGAGUGGGUUUGAAGAUCACUUGGAAAAUUCCUCAGAUUUCCAAAUAUCCCCUUUGCCGUGGGAGUGGCAGCUGAGAGCUUCUGUCUGAUCUUCUAGACAUCAGCGCGUGGACCUGUUUCUGCUCUGGCUUCCCCCCUUCUCCAAUUCCUGGGCUGGAGGCUGGAGAAAUGGGGCUCCUGCUUCUCUUGCUUCCUUGGGUCGCCCCUGUGAGGCUGGGCUGGGACCUUCCAAAUCGGUGGAUUCCUGAGAAGGACAAACUUGGGGCAGGUGUCUACCUUGCCCUCAGAGCUGACGACGGGGGACAGGCGGUCACAACAGAGCUUUGAGGGACGGCCAUCGGACCGCAGCCUGUGGCACACCAUCUCUACAGACCUGGGGCCCUCGCAAGCCGUCCAGACUGCAGUGCUGGGGUCCGGACAGUGAGGGGGCUGCUGGACACUAAUUCCCAGUGGAAGAGAGGACAAGGAUGGGUCACUAAUCUCCACCCUGAGAAAGACAGGCGGCCACCAGCGAUGUCCGAGGCCAGAGCUGGGCAGGCUGAGCCCCAGAUGCUUCAAGCCUGUGACAUGUUCUGUCAGAAUUUCAUUUGUCGGCGCGGCUUCAGCCUUAUUCUUGGCAGAUGCGGACAGCAGGGGAGAGGUACGAGUCUAAAUUCCCUUCUGCGGUCCUUGAAAACGAAGUGGCAGGGCUUUUCCCCCACCAACACUGAGCUCCACCCAAGGCGGGGAAAGCAAAGUGUGCCCCAGAGCCCGCGAGAAGGGCGAGUGUAUAUUCACCAUCCAUCCAACUGCGCCUCUCCUUGCUUCUUAAAUCGCUGGUUUAUUAAAUGACUCACAUCGUCCCUUUAUUCAUUUCCAUAAUCACUUUGGUUUUUAUGUUUAUAACUUUUUUUUAUUGAAGUGUAGCUGAUGUACAAUAUUAUAUGUUACAGGUGUACAAUA